CGCACGGGUGAGUAACACGUAUGGAACCUGCCCUAUGCAGGGGGGGAUAAGCGGAAGAAAUUCCGUCUAAUACCGCAUAACACCAUUUGGAGACAUCUCCAGGGGGUCAAAGGAGGCGACUCCGGCAUAGGAUGGCCAUGCGUCGCAUUAGCUAGUCGGCGGGGUAACGGCCCACCGAGGCGACGAUGCGUAGGGGUUCUGAGAGGAAGGUCCCCCACACUGGUACUGAGACACGGACCAGACUCCUACGGGAGGCAGCAG
rnacentral:rRNA from 1 species